UAAGUGGCUUUUAUAAAAGCCAUAUUUAGAUACCUCAAAUUAUUGU
rfam:Physcomitrella patens subsp. patens PHYPAscaffold_362 genomic scaffold, whole genome shotgun sequence.